ensembl:lncRNA
CUACAGGCGCUACGAACCGGAGCAAGGACUAAUCUCGCCUCAUAAUGAGGCGGUGACCUCGUAUUUGCUCCGGGAAAAGUCCAGAUUUAGACGACGUCAUUGUGUGUAAGUGACACUGUUUCUCCUUCCUUGUUAAAUGUUACUGUGACUUGCGUUUGAUUUUCUUUUUGUAUUCAUACCACACUCAUUUAAUUGUUUUCCAGCCGCCUGUGAGACGUAUUUUGAGACGGGACGCAGGAGCUUCAGGUUCAGGCGGAACACUCAUUGCGAGCGGAAGCUGCGAAGGAUUCAGCGCGGAGUCGAGCGAGAAGAAAGAGGCUGCUGGAAUCGAGACAAAGUGCUGGCUGAUGACGAGGUGGAAAUCCGCCACCGUGGAGCUCACGUCGGACGGAGGGGACGGCGUUGUUGGCGGGGUCUCGGG